AGAAGAUCUGGUUACAAAUCUUGACUUGAACUCAGGAACAGGGCGUUCAACUCGCCCAUCUUCUUC
rnacentral:tRNA from 1 species